rnacentral:rRNA from 1 species
UACGGAGGGGGCUAGCGUUGUUCGGAAUUACUGGGCGUAAAGCGCGCGUAGGCGGCUUUGUAAGUUAGAGGUGAAAGCCCGGAGCUCAACUCCGGAACUGCCUUUAAAACUGCAUCGCUUGAAUCCAGGAGAGGUGAGUGGAAUUCCGAGUGUAGAGGUGAAAUUCGUAGAUAUUCGGAAGAACACCAGUGGCGAAGGCGGCUCACUGGACUGGUAUUGACGCUGAGGUGCGAAAGCGUGGGGAGCAAACAGG